AACGUAGGACACAAGCGUUAUCCGGAAUUACUGGGCGUAAAGCGUGCGUAGACGGCUAUCUAAGUCUGGUGUGAAAUCUCCCGGCUCAACUGGGAGGGUGCGCCGAAAACUGGAAGGCUAGAGUGCGGGAUGGGAGAGUGGAAUUCCUGGUGUAGCGGUGAAAUGCGUAGAUAUCGUUUGGAACGCCAAUGGUGAAAACAGGUUGCUGGGAGUGUGCUGACGCUGAGACACGAAAGCCAGGGGAGCAAACGGG
rnacentral:rRNA from 1 species